rnacentral:rRNA from 1 species
UACAGAGGUCUCAAGCGUUGUUCGGAUUCAUUGGGCGUAAAGGGUGCGUAGGCGGCGCGGUAAGUCGGGUGUGAAAUCUCGGGGCUUAACUCCGAAACUGCAUUCGAUACUGCCGUGCUUGAGGACUGGAGAGGAGACUGGAAUUUACGGUGUAGCGGUGAAAUGCGUAGAUAUCGUAAGGAAGACCAGUGGCGAAGGCGGCUUGCUGGGCCUUACCUGACGCUGAGGAGCGAAAGCGUGGGGAGCGAACAGG